ACGGGUGAGUAACGCGUGGUCAACCUACCGUUGAGUGGGGGAUAACUAGCCGAAAGGUUAGCUAAUACCGCAUACGUCUCCGAGGGGCAUCCCUUGGCGAUAAAAGGAGCAAUCCGCUCGAUGACGGGACCGCGUCCCAUUAGCUAGAUGGUGGGGUAAUGGCCUACCAUGGCUCCGAUGGGUAGCCGGUUUGAGAGAGCGACCAGCCACACUGGGACUGAGAAACGGCCCAG
rnacentral:rRNA from 1 species